rnacentral:rRNA from 1 species
AGUGAACGCUGGCGGCGUGCCUAAUACAUGCAAGUCGAACGGAGAUUAAGUAGCUUGCUAUUUAAUCUUAGUGGCGCACGGGUGAGUAAUAUAUAGCUAACUUGCCCAUUACUAAGGGACAACAGUUGGAAACGACUGCUAAUACCUUAUACUCCGUAUCUAUAUAAGUAGAUACGGGAAAGUUUUUCGGUAAUGGAUAGGGCUAUAUCGUAUCAGCUAGUUGGUAAGGUAAUGGCUUACCAAGGCUAUGACGCGUAACUGGUCUGAGAGGAUGAUCAGUCACACUGGAACUAAGACACGGUCCAGACUCCUACGGGAGGCAGCAGUAGGGAAUAUUGCUCAAUGGGGGAAACCCUGAAGCAGCAACGCCGCGUGGAGGAUGACACUUUUCGGAGCGUAAACUCCUUUUCUUGGGAAAGAAUUAUGACGGUACCCAAGGAAUAAGCACCGGCUAACUCCGUG